rnacentral:lncRNA from 1 species
GUAAACAACAAGUUACCAAACAGUGUGGGAAGAACAGAAAUAGAACUACCUAGAGCACAGGCCAACAGCCUCAUGGGUGGAGCAUGAUAACUGGCUUUACCAAGGAGGCGAUUACUGACAACAGGCAUAGCUGGGAGCCACAGAGGAUCAGCAUCCCAGGAAGGUUGGAGGGGACAGCAGCAGAAGAGACCUGGAGAGUCACCCUCAGGCUUUAGAAAUAGCCUGGAGUUGGAAUGGGAGAGCUGUACGCAGGCCUUGGGCAAGCACUGGGCCCUGUGAUGGCCCUGCUAGAGGCUGCGUGUGAAUAGGUAAGAAGCAAAAGUGGAAAGAGAGAAAAUGAGAAUAUUGGGGUGGUGGGGGAGAAGAGGAAGCAGAAAAGAGAAAAGAAUAAAAUAAAGAUUAACAUAAUGUGUCCAUAGUAACUCAUCUAGAAAGUAGGACAGGCAGGACUUAGAUUCAAACCUGGGUCUAUUUGACUCCAAAGUCCAUCUUGCUUCCUCUGUAACAGGAGAGGAGCCACAGGCUAUUCCCAGCUUAUGAAGGGUACACUUACAAGGAGAAUUCUCAGUAGAUCUGUCUAGUUCUCCUGACUCCCACAAAAGCAUUUUCAGUGUGAGCCAGACAAUGGGCUGGGUGUUUGAGGCCCAAAGAUAAACAAGACAUAGUUCUUACCCUUGAGGAAUCCACAGCCUCGCAGAUAGGUAAAUGUGCCAACAAAUAACUACAUCCAAAAAUUGUAGUAAAAAUAAGAACAUAGCCGGGCGCGGUGGCUCAAGCCUGUAAUCCCAGCACUUUGGGAGGCCGAGACGGGCGGAUCAUGGGUCAGGAGAUCGAGACCACCCUGGCUAACACAGUGAAACCCCGUCUCUACUAAAAAUACAAAAAAACUUAGCCGGGCGAGGUGGCAGGCGCCUGUAGUCCCAGCUACUCGGGAGGCUGAGGCAGGAGAAUGGCGUAAACCCGGGAGGCGGAAGCUUGCAGUGAGCUGAGAUCCGGCCACUGCACUCCAGCCUGGGUGACAGAGCGAGACUCCAUCUCAAAAAAAAAAAAAAAAAAAAAAAAAUAAGAACAUAAAGAAGUAUAAAAUGCCAACAGACCAGAGAUGGAGGAAUAACAAUUGAUCUAGAGAAUAUGACAAAGAUAUAUAAAGAUGGGGUUAUUUGAUACGGGUUUCAAGGAAUAAUUAGGAGUUUCAACAACAGACGAUGGCAAGAAAACAUAUUACCAGCAAAGGAAGAGUUAUUACAAAAGGGAAAUAUGGGAACAAUAUGUGGACAUAAUGAGGUGGCAGAUUUGGUUCCAUAAAAGCAUGAAUGGCCCCAACAUGGAGAAACUGCCCUAGAAAACAAGAAAUUCCCCAUUGCUGCAAAGGUCCAAGCAAAGUGUAGACCAAUCGUGUGUCAAUAAAAGGUCAUCAUGGGGAAUUCCGCUUAGAUUCCUU